rnacentral:lncRNA from 1 species
GAGAGGCCGGUCUUCGUUUUAUUUGGUGGUUUUGUACUGCUAGUUGUCUUUUUUCUUCUCUCGUGUUAAUGGUUUGUCUGAAACAGCUGUGGGUUGUGUUCUCUAGGCCUCUACACGGCUUUUCGAUCGUUGAAUAUCUUUUACUAGUACAUCCAAGUGUAGCACAUAGAUACUAGAUAAGCACUUCAUAAGCCCAUAUUUCUUCUGAGGGCAUCAGGCUGCAACAUGAUGACU